CAGCAAUGUCCAUCGGUCUCGGUCAUAAACGAACGCUGCUGUUGUGGGUGUUGGCCGCAGCGGUGACCGUGGUGUCGGGGUCAGACGCCCCCCUGUCAGGGCCUCCCCAGACACUCCAGGCCCUCCACUGCCCACCUUGCGAGAGGAUUCACUGCACCUCCCGUCGCGCCCUCAGGCUCCAGUGUAGAGGCGGGCUGACCACGGGCGUCUGCGGCUGCUGCCCGGCGUGUGCCAGGACCGCGGGGGAGGGCUGCGGGGGGGCCUGGGACUACCUGGGGAAGUGCGACGAGGGGCUGGUGUGUGUCUACCAGCAGGCCGUCCUGCCCACUGAAGGAGAACCGGAGGAACGUAAGGGGAUCUGUAAAACAGGCCAGUCUCUCUGGAGAAGCAGGAGUGUCAAGGGUCCCUGCCAGCACACCUCCUGCUCAAGCUGUCUGGUUUGAGACCCCUUUGUCAAACUCCUGCCCCAAGACAUGUGCGCCCUCUGACCCCACCUGCUGUGCAUCGCUUUGGCAUGUGUGUCCAAAGCCACCUGAAUGGGCCUCACCAACACAACCACAUCUGCCACCACAACCUGAAGAGUAAUGCAGAGGGAUAUUUGUGUGCUUGGUGCCUGGCUGUCCAAAUUCUGUGAACUGAUGGUUUGCAUUGAGGAAAAGAAAACCUGAUGUAAACAAAUAUUGAAUGGCAGCUAUUUUCAAAUACACCAUGGGACUGAUUUCAACGUGACAGCAGCAGACUUAUCUUGGAUGUAACUAAAUCAAUAACAUAAAAACAUAUACUAAAUAUACACCAGUCAGCCAUAACAUUAUGACCACGCUGCCUAAUAUUGUGUGGGUCCCCCAUUUGCCGCCAAAACAACCCCUGAUCCGUCGAGCAUGGACUCCACUAGACCUCUGAAGUUGUGCUGUGGUAUCUGGUACCAAAGACAUUAGCAGCAGAUCCUUUAAGUCCUGUAGUUGCUUGGUGGGGCCUCCAUGGAUCGGACCUGUUUGUCCAGCACAUUCCACAGAUGCUUAAUUGAAUUUGGAGGUCAAGUCACACCUUGAACUCAUUGUUAUGUUCCACAAACCAUUCCUGAACCAUUUUUGCUUUGUGGCAAGGCACAUUAUCCUGCUGAAAGAGGCCAGUUGCCAUCAGGGAAUACCUUUGCCAUGAAAGGGUGGACAUGGUCUGCAACAAUGCUUAGGUAGGUGGUACGUGUCAAAGUAACAUCCACAUGAAUGGGAGGACCCAAGGUUUCCCAGCAGGACAUUGCCCAAAGCAUCACACUGCCUCCGCUGGUUGCCUUCUUCCCAUAGGUGCAUCCUGGUGGCCAUGUGUUCUCCAGGUAAGUAGCCUUCGCUCCCCAUGUGAUCAGUGAGCUUGCCUGCCCAUGACCCUGUUGCCGGUUCACCACUUUUCCUUCCUUGGACCAUUUCUGAUAGGUAAUGACCAUUGCAGACCAGGAACACCCCACAAGGGCUGCAGUUUUGGAGAUGCCCUAACCCAGUCAUCUAGCCAUCACAAUUUGGCCAUUGUCAAAAUUGCUCAGAUCCGCUUGCCCAUUUUUCCUGCUUCUAACACACAAACUUCUAGGACAGAAAACGUUCACUUGCCGCCUAAUAUAUCCCACCCACUGAGAGGUGCCACAAUAACGAGAUUAUUAGUGUCAUUCACUUCACCUGUCAGUGAUUAUGAUGUUAUGGCUGAUUGGUGUAUAUGUAUAAUAUUACACAGCACUCUGUAGUCCAUGUUUUCAGCAUCCUGUCUGAAUACAGCCCAUCUGGAAUAACAUCCCAAUCAUUGUAUUUUCUGUUGUUAACAUUGCCUGUGUAUAGUUUUGAAUAUUGUGAAUAAACAUGAUCUUUCAAAGAUUAAAAUGUUCUUAUAUAUGGUGAAUGGACUCCAUGCCUUAAGCGCUAGGGUCACAGAUUUGUUUAUUUGGGUCGCCAUCAGCUGACACCAUUGUGAGUCUUCCUGGUGUACGUCACUCAACGAAAAGACUACAAAGGCCACCAAAACAUUUUAUCGUACAUAUAUCUAAUUAACAUUUGAAUGAAGCUGCCCGGUGUUUUCAGAUUAUAUUACAUAUGAACUGUAACUGCUAUUGUAAAUAUGACAACUAGCUUUCCUUUAGAAAAAAAAGUCACAUUAUCACCCCCAUCCAAACUGCCAAGCUCCUCUAAAAACACACGUUUCUUAAAAAGUUCUGUCUUAUACAUCACCAGGGAUGGCCAGUAUUUAUGAUGCAUGUAUUUCAAAUACGUCUUUCAAACACAAAAUAGGAUUUUGUCAUUUGUAUUUGAUAGGUAAAAUACCAUUGAUAAAUGGCUUCAUAUUUUAUACCAAAAUACUUUUGUGUUUUAUAUUUUGUCAUUUAAAAAUACUGUAAAAUAGUUUGUGGGAAGUGCAGAUGAUGACAUCAUGUAUUGCUGCCUCAUUGGUGCCUACUCAGUAAUUUGCCCAGACAAGUCGAGAUCAGAACCGAAUUAAUCCAUACCAAAAGAAUGUCAGGAUGAUAAACUUGUAGUUUUCAUUUGUUGUGCACCAAGAUACGAGAAAGGGUACAAGACUGCACCGUAAUAGAAGUAGCUGUUCAGUAGGAUCAUUUCGCAUACCAUUGCAUGAAUGAUUGCCUGACAAUGUAUGAUUAUGUUUAUGAUUAGCAAUCAAAUGAUUAAUUACUUAGAUUAUAAUAUAUUUAGUUUAUAAUCUCUGAAUAGUUUAGGACCUGAAUACAUUUCUGGUAUGUUUGAAGAAUAUAACCCGAGCAGGGCUCUUAGAUCCAUGAACACAGGUCAGCUGUAGAGCCAGAGUCCAAACUAAACAUGGAGAAGCUGCGUGUAGCACUCAUGCUUUGCAAAACUGGAAUAAACUAAUAGAAGAUCUUAGACGUGCUCCAAACGUAUCAAUUUUUAAAUCCAGGUUAAAAACACUUCUCUUCUCACGUGCCUAUGACUGAACACUUAAACCUAACCACAAUGUUUAGCCUUAUAGCUUCGUAUGUUUUUAUCUGUAUAUGUUUUCUUAUUGUAUUUUUUAUUAAUAUGAUGUAUUCAUUUGUUUUGAUGUUUUCAUUUGUGUAUUUGUUUUUAUGUUAUUGUACUUUCAUAUAUUUUUCUCUGUAAAGCACAAAAAUUGCUGCGAUGUAUGAAUUGUAGUAAUAAACUUGCUUGCUUACUUCAUUACCAAACACCAAGUAACUAAAUUAGGAUACAAUUAUGUAUCAUUAGUAAACAGUUAGUUAAACAUUAAACUGUUCGUAACUUAACAUUAAACUUCAUAUGGGUAAUCACAGGGAUGUGUGAUUUGAUCCGUUAACUGGUUGCAUAUGUCAGAUUUAUCGAGUGACUCGUUAGCCAGAGAAAAGCUGUUGCAAUAAAACAUUGUCUACAAAUGAGUCAAUGCACCGGUGAAGGGAUAGAUGGAAGGUUUGAUAAGUAACUUCAUGCCCCCUUGUAGAAGUAUUUUUAUAAUUUUAUUUUGAUACAUGGUGUGGCUGCUGUAUUUUUUUUUGUUUAUUUUGAUACACUUAAAAUUAAGGUAUUUGGUAUCUUAUUUUAAAAUAAAUGUUAAUGUAUCUAUGCCCGUCUCUGUCACCACUCGUCCUAAUCCCAUUUAAUCAGGUUUACAGCAGGUUGUCGGGGGGUGUACACUGCUGUCAAUUUCAAUAAUAUAGGAAUCGGUUGUCAAAUUUAAAACGCACUUACUUUAUUAAAAUGUCAACCGACACGAGGAGCUGAACAGAAGAAAAAAACAGCUACUAAAUAAGAUAAAAUAAUACAUGGAUAUAUGUAAAUACACCAUGGGACUAAUAUAUAGUUAAACAAUAGUUCGGAUUAUUCGGAGCUUGCUCGGAGAGACUACUUUCACAGCAAUUGACUGAUUGAGACUGCGGUGAAGUUAGCUUUAUAUUCAAGAUUCAGACUUUGAUCGUCAAAACAUCAUCAACGAAACCAGACAGA
ensembl:lncRNA